rnacentral:rRNA from 1 species
CCCUGAUGCAGCGACGCCGCGUGGACGAUGAAGGCCCUUCGGGUCGUAAAGUCCUUUUCUAUGGGGAGAAGAUGCGAAGUAGUAACUGACUUUGCAGUGACGGUACCAUAGGAAUCAGUCACGGCUAACUCUGUGCCAGCAGCCGCGGUAAUACAGAGGUGGCAAAUGUUGCUCGGAAUUACUGGGCGUAAAGGACGCGCAGGCGGACUGUUAAGUCAAGAGUGAAAACUUCCGGCUCAACCGGGAGCAUGCUUUUGAAACUGGCGGUCUUGAGACACGUAGGGGAUGACGGAACACCUGGAGUAGCGGUGAAAUGCGUAGAUAUCAGGUGGAACACCGGUGGCGAAGGCGGUCAUCUGGACGAGGUCUGACGCUGAGGCGUGAAAGCCGGGGGAGCAAACA